AUUGAACGCUGGCGGCAGGCUUAACACAUGCAAGUCGAACGCAUCCUUCGGGGUGAGUGGCAGACGGGUGAGUAACGCGUGGGAACGUGCCCUUCAGUUCGGGAUAACCCAGGGAAACUUGGGCUAAUACCGGAUACGUGCGAGAGCAGAAGGAUUUAUCGCUGAAGGAUCGGCCCGCGUCUGAUUAGCUAGUUGGUGGGGUAAUGGCCCACCAAGGCGACGAUCAGUGGCUGGUCUGAGAGGAUGAUCAGCCACAUUGGGACUGAGACACGGCCCAAACUCCUACGGGAGGCAGCAGUGGGGAAUAUUGGACAAUGGGCGCAAGCCUGAUCCAGCCAUGCCGCGUGAGUGAUGAAGGCCUUAGGGUUGUAAAGCUCUUUCGUCCGGGACGAUAAUGACGGUACCGGAAGAAGAAGCCCCGGCUAACUUCGUGCCAGCAGCCGCCGUAA
rnacentral:rRNA from 1 species